rnacentral:rRNA from 1 species
AUAAGGAAAGUAAAGAAGGGCGCAUGGCGGAUGCCUUGGCUCUCGGAGGCGAUGAAGGACGUGAUAAGCUGCGAUAAGCUCCGGGGAGGUGCAAAUAACCUUUGAUCCGGGGAUUUCCGAAUGGGACAACCCGGCGUGUUGAAGACACGCCACCUGAUCAUUUCAGGAGCUAACGCAGGGAACUGAAACAUCUUAGUACCUGCAGGAAAAGAAAAUAACAAUGAUUCCCCCAGUAGUGGCGAGCGAACGGGGAAUAGCCCAAACCGUUCAUGUUACGGCAUGAUCGGGGUUGUAGGACUACGUCGUUGCAUGAAGACAUCGGAGAAGAACUUUCUGGAAAGAAAGACCAUAGAGCAUGACAGUUGCGUAUUCGUAUGUUGUCGAAGCAUAGUAGUAUCCUGAGUAGCGCGGAGCACGAGGAAUUCUGCGUGAAUCUGCCGGGACCAUCCGGUAAGGCUAAAUACUCCCGAGAGACCGAUAGCGAACCAGUACCGUGAGGGAAAGGUGAAAAGCACUUCGAACAGAAGAGUGAAAUAGUUCCUGAAACCGUGCGCCUACAAGCGGUCGGAGCUGCUUAAAGCAGUGACGGCGUGCCUUUUGCAUAAUGAACCUACGAGUUGCCUUUGCCGGCAAGGUUAAGUGUGACGACACACGUAUCCGAAGCGAAAGCGAGUCUGAAGAGGGCGUAUAGUCGGCAGUGGCAGACGCGAAACCAAGUGAUCUACCCUUGGCCAGGUUGAAGGCUGGGUAACACCAGCUGGAGGACCGCACCAAUAAGCGUUGAAAAGCUUCUGGAUGAGCUGAGGGUAGGGGUGAAAGGCUAAUCAAACUUGGAGAUAGCUCGUACUCCCCGAAAUGCAUUUAGGUGCAGCCUUGCGGGUUACUGAUGUGAGGUAGAGCGACUGAUAAGAUGCGAGGGCUUCACCGCCUAUCAAGUCUUGACAAACUCCGAAUGCGCAUCAGUUUUACCUCAGGAGUGAGGGCAUGGGUGCUAAGGUCCGUGCCCGAGAGGAGAAGAAUCCGGACCACCUGCUAAGGUCCCGAAAUGACAGCUAAGUUAAACUAACGAAGUCUGACUGCUAAGACAGCUAGGAUGUUGGCUUGGAAGCAGCCAUUCAUUUAAAGAGUGCGUAACAGCUCACUAGUCGAGGAGUCUGGCGUGGAUAAUAAUCGGGUAUUAAGUUGUCUACCGAAGCAGUGGGAUCAUUGAAAUGAUCGGUAGGGGAGCAUUCCAGUCAGCGUCGAAGGCGUACCGCGAGGUAUUCUGGAGCGUCUGGAAAAGCAAAUGUAGGUAUAAGUAACGAUAAAGGGGGCGGGAAACCCCCUCGCCGAAAGACUAAGGUUUCCUGAUCAACGCUAAUCGGAUCAGGGUAAGUCGGGUCCUAAGGCUCAGCCGAAGGGCGAUGCCGAUGGCAGAAACGGUUAAUAUUCCGUUACUACCUCCAGGAGUGAUGUGGAGACGCAGUAGUGACAAUGCCGCCAUCUGACGGAAUAGAUGGUUGAAGGGUGUAGAUGUUGAUCUUGGCAGGCAAAUCCACCAUGAGAAUCGAACCUGAUAGUAUGCCGCGUCCCUCGGGACAAGGCAAUAGUGCAUGUAAUCAUGCUGCCAAGAAAAUCCGCUAAACUAAAUCCUGUAGGUACCCGUACCGUAAACGGACACACGUAGUCGGGAUGAAUAUUCUAAGGCGCUUGAGUGAUUCACGGUUAAGGAACUAGGCAAACUGACCCUGUAACUUCGGGAUAAAGGGUCCCUACCCGGUGACGGGAGGGCGCAGAGAAUAGGUCCAGGCAACUGUUUAACAAAAACACAGGGCUGUGCGAAAUCGAAAGAUCCUGUAUACAGCCUGACACCUGCCCGGUGCUGGAAGGUUAAGAGGAGACGUCAUCGUUGAGAGAAGCGUUGAAUU